AGCAGCCGCGGUAACUCCAGCUCCAAUAGCGUAUAUUAAAGUUGUUGCAGUUAAAAAGCUCGUAGUUGAAUUUUGGAUUCGGCCAAUUGGUCCAUCUUUUAGAUGAGUACUGGUUGUGUUGGGUCUAUCCGCCUGGUGAUACGUAAUGUCCUUUAUUGGAUGUUGCGGGUAGUCAGGACCUUUACCUUGAAAAAAUUAGAGUGUUUAAAGCAGGCUUAUGCCGGAAUACAUUAGCAUGGAAUAAUAGAAUAGGACGAAGUUGUUUUAUUUUGUUGGUUUCUAGGACAACCGUAAUGAUUAAUAGGGAUAGUUGGGGGCAUUAGUAUUCAAUUGUCAGAGGUGAAAUUCUUGGAUUUAUUGAAGACUAACUACUGCGAAAGCAUUUGCCAAGGAUGUUUUCAUUAAUCAAGAACGAAAGUUAGGGGAUCGAAGACGAUCAGAUACCGUCGUAGUCUUAACCAUAAACUAUGCCGACUAGGGAUCGGGCGAUGUUGUUUCCAUGACUCGCUCGGCACCUUAU
rnacentral:rRNA from 1 species